rnacentral:rRNA from 1 species
CCAGCAGCUGCGGUAAUUCCAGCUCCAAUAGCGUAUAUUAAAGUUGUUGCAGUUAAAAAGCUCGUAGUUGGAUUUGUGGCGUACGGUGGGUCCCGGGCACUUGUGUCUGCGUGACUUGCCGUUGCCAUCCUUGGGUGGAACCUGUGUGGCAUUAGGUUGUCGUGCAGGGGAUGCCCAUCAUUUACUGUGAAAAAAUUAGAGUGUUCAAAGCAGGCUUAUGCCGUUGAAUAUAUUAGCAUGGAAUAAUAAGAUAGGACUUUUUGGCUAUUUUGUUGGUUUGCGCGAGAAGGUAAUGAUUAAUAGGGACAGUUGGGGGUAUUCGUAUUCCAUUGUCAGAGGUGAAAUUCUUGGAUUUCUGGAAGACGAACUACUGCGAAAGCAUUUACCAAGGAUGUUUUCAUUAAUCAAGAACGAAAGU